UACGAACUGUGCGAACGUUGUUCGGAUUCACUGGGCUUAAAGGGCGCGUAGGCGGGCUGUCAAGUCUGGGGUGAAAUCCCGCGGCUCAACCGUGGAACUGCCUCAGAUACUGGCGGUCUUGAGCCAUCUAGGGGCGACUGGAACAAACGGUGGAGCGGUGAAGUGCGUAGAUAUCGUUUGGAACGCCAAUGGUGAAAACAGGUCGCUGGGGAUGAGCUGACGCUGAGACACGAAAGCCAGGGGAGCAAACGGG
rnacentral:rRNA from 1 species